CACUCUUCUCUCCUAUUCUCCUCUUUUCUUGCGAUUGAGAAGAAGCUUGACCAACACCUACAAAAACAGUGGUCGACCUCUCUAAUCACAGCAGAUCAAGCUUGUAGAGACGUCGUCUACCUCUCCAGGAAGAGUCGUCCCCCUAUUUUUUCGUUCAUCUGCACCGAGAGGCAUGUCAUCCUCUAGUAACUAUUAUUCUAGUGGUGAGAGCUUCGACUGGAGGCAUGAGGCUUUGAAAUGUGAUUGUGGGCUAAGGGCUGCUAUAAGGGUUACCAAGUCUGACAAGCCAUCUAAAGGGAGACUGUAUUUCAUUUGUGAGAAGAGAAAUUGUCAAUUUUAGAGGUGGUGUACCCUCAAAAUCUGUGACGAUAGUAGAGAGGCUGAGGAACGAGAGAAUGAUUGAUCAAAAUCAACAUAUGGAGACUGUAGGACUAAAAGUAAAGAACCAAAUGCUUGAGCAAUCCAAUGUUUUCAUGAAGCAACUUCUUGUGGGUCUGCUCACGAUUUGUGUUGUUAUGUCAGUUGCAUUACUCUUUAAAUUAUGAUAGGUGCCGUUUAGAGAUACCCGAUGUUUUUGUGCUAAGUAGUUUACCAUGAACUAUUGUACCCAAUGAAUGUUUACGUAGUUGCCAUGUAUGGUUAUUUUGUACUAAUCUUGCUGUUGUAAUGCAAGCACUGAUGAAUGAGUUUGUUUUUAAAAAAAAAAAAUUUCUUUCAUAGAAUGAGUACCCAAGAGGAAACACAACCUGAAAAUAGGAAGAACAAGGGAAAAUCAAGUCAAGUACCAUCCGUUAAAGCUCAUUCGGAUGCAAAAUCAAAUGAAAUUUUUAUUAAGCUUUGUGUUGAACAAGUGAAGGUUGGACAUAAACCUGGUACACACUUAGAUAGGGUCGGGUGGGAAAAUGUGAUAACUAAGUUUAAAAGUAUAACUGGAAAAGCAUACCAACGAAUACAAAUGAAAAAUCAUUGGGAUGUGUUGAAAAAAGAUUGGCUUUUAUGAAAUAAUUUGUUAAGGGGUGAGACAGGCUUAGGUCGUAAUACAUUGACUGGAGCUAUAUCUGCGUCUGAUGAGUGGUGAACCAAGAAAUUGGAGGUACGUGAAUUGCUUAAUGUACAUAUUUUUUUUGUUUUAUCUCAAUUAAAUAUACCAAAUUUUGUUACUUGACCUUGUUAAAUUUUCUUUUGUAAUUGUUGCAGAGGUAUCCUGAUGCUGCAAAUUCUGACGUAUGCUGUUGCAAUUCACUAAAGACUUAGACAUACUAUUCUCAGAUGCAGUUGCUACAGAAGAAUGGGCAUACACUCCUAGCUCAGGGGUAAUGCCUCACAUUGAUGAGACUCCAGAGGAAUUUCAUACCCCACAUGAUGCUGAAUUUCAUGAUGAUGCCGAUUUGGAGGUGGUUCAUCCUUCCGAGUUAAACAAAAAACGGUCAUCAAACACUGAUGGUUCAUAACCAAGAGCAAGACAAAGAAGAAAUUUACUAGUGCAGCUCUACUGAACAAGACACUUGAUCGUAUAGUCAGUGUGGUUGAGUCAUCUUCAGUAACUUCAACACAGACCUCAUCAAGAUAUCCUUCAAUUGCAGAAUGUUUGGCGAAGUUGGAAAGCAUCCCUGGUGUGUCUCUAGAUGAUGAGUUGUAUGUAUGGGCUGCCAGAUUGUUCUUAUGAGACAAGCGUCGUGAGUGCUUUAUGAGUCUUCCAACGGAUGAAGUUCGGUUGAGGUUUCUAUAGUUGGAGAUUGAGAUGGAGAAGACCACCACAGGUUAUUGCGACUAAUUGUUUUUGAGAUGGACUGUUGUGUUGAACUCAUUAUUUUUUUUCUUUUAUUAAUAUUUUUGUUAGACUUUGAUGGAUAUUAUUGACUAUGUUGGACUUUUAUUAUUAAUAUUUGACUAUGUUGGACUUUGAUUAA